GGUAGUAGAUAUUCAUAAGUAAAGAAUGGGAUUGAAAGAAUUUUGAAGCAGGGAUACAUAACUGGGGUACGUAAACAAAGAAUCUAG
ensembl:ncRNA T12A2.19 ncRNA